UUUUUUUUUUGGUAGAUUAACUAGCAGGCCUAUUUUAAAAAGGUAAUUCAGCUAAAGGGCAAUUUACUUUUUUGUACUUCAGACUAUCUUGAUUGUCAAAGUGUACGAACUGUAAUUUUAAAAUUUAUACUGCCACAUGAUUGUAAAUUUUAGUUGUCUUAAGUUAGGAAUUGGUGAAAAGCUAUUUAUGCUGGAUUUGGGUCAAAAUGACUUAUUUGCAAAAAAAAAUAAAUAAUGGGAAGAAAGGGCUGCAUAAUGA
rnacentral:lncRNA from 1 species